AGUAGGAUCUUGCGCGUCAAGUGCCGUUGAGACGGGGGGUGCUCGCGGACGAAAAGCCUGACGGCUUGCGGUGCAUGAUCCACUCCCGCU
rnacentral:ncRNA from 1 species